GUUUGUUGAAAUUCCAAUGAGAAAAAAUAGGUUUUUGUGACAUUUAUAACUUCACAUAAAUCUUUUGUUUCAAUCAGGUUGUAGCGGCAUUUGGGAAUGGCGAACAACUAGUAUGAGUACGUGUAAUGUUUUGAGGUGGAAGACGAAGUAAUGUACCCAAAUAUCAUUGUUGUUCAAAUUGAUGGCCGCGACUUUGGCAGUUUCUCGGAGAAGCAUGGAUUUGAGAAGCCGAAUGAUGACAAAGCCUUGAACUUGAUGAAUGCUUGUGCUAUUAAGGUAUUAGAGAACUUCUCUGAUGUUAUAUUUGCGUAUGGAUUUACUGAUGAGUACAGUUUCGUUUUGAAGAAGGAAAUCACAUUUUACCAGAGGCGAGCAAGGUUUGUAACCUAUUUCAUAUCUCAAGAAUUUGAUAUCAGUGUUUAUCAAUAAUUAUUUUUGGCUCUUCGGACGAGUAAUUUGAAUGAUGCACUUUGUCUUGUUAGUAUUCAUAUAUCGCUGGUAUGAUACAAAAUUAUUGUUCUUGCAUUGACUCUUGUUUGAGUAGCGAUAAAACAAUACUUGUUUACUUUUCUUGUCUUAUGCUUCUUGAACACUCUUUGAACGAUUGCAUGAUAACUUUGUACGUGAUUCAACUAGAAUCAUCUUUUCUGUUAACUACAAUAUACAAAUCUCUUCCUCAGCUGUUGGUUUGCUAGAUCAUGUCCCAUUUGUCUUUGAUUUUAGAUCAUCUAAGCAAUUUUUUUUGGAUUCCUGACACCAACAAUCUGUCAUUAUUUUAAACUUGACUGUUACAUUGUCCUAGUGCUGAUUGCUGAGGAACUGUAUAUUAUAUAACCAGUCUCUAACAGUGAAGCUAAUUCAAUUAUGCUCAGGGAUGCUGCUGCCUCUUGGAUAGUUUAUCAACUUUUUAUCUCUUUCUUAACCGCCCAUGUCUAUACCAGUUUGAACUGUCCUUCAAUUACCCUUCUUUAGCAUGUUUUUGUUAAAGUGGGUUAGAGUGCAAGUGUGCAACAUUGAUCGGGGAAUGGAUUGAUGGUUUGCUUAUAUGGACUUUGGCAAUCCUCCCCUCAUGAGCUAGCUUUUGGGGUUGAGUUAGAACCAAGGUCCAUUACUUUAUCAUGGUGUCAUAGUUAGGUCUAACCCAUUCAUUGUUUCGAUGUUGGACCCCCCUCUUAUAUUGUCCACUCUCCGAUGUCCAGUCCUUGACGUGCGGGGGUGUUGAGUCCCAUAUCGGUGGGCAUUAAGGAAUUUGGUCUCCUAAUAUGAUCUUGAUCAAUCCUUCCCUUAUGAGCUAGCUUUGGGGGUUGACCUAGGUUAUAUAUUUCUUGUUUUUUGUUAAUCAUUUUUGAGAUUUUGUUAAUGAGAAGGAAAAUCAGCUCCAAAUCGCUAUAGCCUAUAGGCCCUUGUGGUAGCUGGCUUGAGGAAAUGCAUAGUAAGCAGUAUUAGGGAAAUAUAGAGAUUGAUCACAAACUUUUCUUAAGAAGGCACCAGGACAACCUUAAGGCGUGGUCAGCUUGGCUGUCCACACAUUUGUCUUCUCACUAAGAUGACCACCAUAUAUAUGUUUUCGUUUUCAAGAUACUUAUGUGGAGUUGAGUAAAAUGGAUUAUAAGAUACAAAAUAUCCCACUUGAAUUAGUCAAGAAGACAAAGAAAAGAGAGAUGUAAAAUAAUCCUAGUUUCUUCAUUUGAGACGAAGUUGCUCAGAAAUUUCAACGUGCAGCAAAAUCCUAUCCAUUAUUGUGUAUUUCUUCUCAUCCACAUAUGUAACCAAAUGGAAAUAGUUCUUUUCUCAAAAAGAGGUAAGUGUGCCUCCAUCAUUCCAUUCACGAGUUAUCUACAUCAAUGGAGGUUCUUCAGGCAUAUCUUCUAUGGAGACAAACAGAAUGUCAUAUAAGCAAUCAAUACAAUACUUGUUUGUGGAAGCUGGUGUUUUCUGGAAAGUUAGAAAAGGAGGCGAAAGAGAUUCUUAAGGGGACACAAAAGCAGGAGCAAACUGAAUUACUCUUUCAGCAGUUUGGUAUCAACUACAAGGACCUUCCACAGAUUUUUCGUCAAGGGUCUUGUGCCAUCAAGAUAAAGGUAGUUACUUUCAUCCCCCUUCUCCUAGAAGAGUAUAUAUUGGUAUAUGCAUGUGAUGCAUGUGCCACUAUCCUUUUUUUUGUUUUUUAGAUUUGAAAGAUAGAUAAAUAUGGCAUUUGGAUAUGAAAAACACUGUUUUGAAAACAAUUGAUGUGUGUGCUUUUCUGUUUUGGAAGAUUUGUUUUAGGAACUUUUUUGAAGAAUGGUUUAGUAUUAAAAAAAUUGAGGCUGAAGGAAUGGUUUUGAUGGCUUUUUGAACGAGAGAGAGAAAGAGAGAAGACACUUCUGUGUAUUUGUCCGUCUUUGUUAACAAACUUACCCUAAGGACCGCACACACUCUCUCUUUUUGUUCUAAAUUCUUCUCUUUCCUUCUUGCAAAAAGUAAACCUAGCCCUAUAAUCUUAGAGAAAUGUUUUUUUUUUGGGUAGAAUUUAGCAGGUUCUUUGACUUGAAAUUAAAAUGUUAGUGUAUUCAUACGUACGCCUAAAAAUGGGUAAGAGUAGUAGUAAUUGAACUCCACAGUCUGAGCCUUGUUAAGGUCAUCCUAUUGUUGUGCUUUUUCAUGGAGCAGUUAUGUGUAACUCUUAUAUUUUUUAUAUAAAAAUGGCAUGUGCAUUAAAGGACUCUUUUGCGGCAAGUAGACAUAUUCUUUUCUCUAUGCUUAAACCAUGAACUCUCACCCCCACCUAUAGGGGUAGGAAGGGAAGAGAAGGAGGUAUACAAUGCAGUUUACUCAUCACUAUACGUGGGUACUUCAUAUCAUGCAUCUUCAUGUCCAGGGGCAGAGCCACCUUAUAAAUAGAAGAAAAGGAAUAAUUUGC